UUUGGAACAGAAUUAAACGAAGUGUUUCCGCAGUUCUACUUACCGAUGCCCCAGUAGCUAGCAGGAAGCGGGCUUUGGUUUCUUAGUUUGUUGUCCCAGAAUAUUUCCUGUAUCCUCUCUGCUUCUUGUCACUGGAUCUGAAAAGCCAGUCUUGAGAACCUCAUUCUUAACUCUGGAAUUCAGAGGGAGGCUGAACAGAGUCAUGAAACUGACUCCAUGAGGAGUCCCUGAAAGUGACAAAUUUUGAUGAAAAUAUAAGGAUGUUGCUGCUAUAGACAAAGAUGUAUCAGUAUCUUCUAGCAUCAGAAACUUGAGCAUCCAUGUUUUCUAUAGUUGCCAUGUGUAACAUCAGAGUAUUGACAUAAAGCCUCAUGUUAUUAAAUAUGGACAUGAAAUGAGAUGUGGGUUUUUCUGUUCCUCUCACAAACAGUAUGAAAGUCAUUUAUUAUUCUCUCUGUACCUGGAGGACUCCUUGCCUCCAGUUACUGCUGAGUAUGCAGGCAUAAUAAGGCUACAUGUCAUUUUUUUGCAUUUAUAUGGAUGACUUUCGAAGUAAAACUCACCACAGCUUCAGGCCAAAAGCUUUCUCCUUGAGUCACAGCUCCUAUCAUUUUCCCCCCUCAGGCAUACUGAUCCUUAGCUAGUCAGGGAAGCAUGCACACAAAUGAUAGGUCAUUAGGAAAUUCUCUGAACGGCAAACCUCUGAAGUCAGCCCAUGUGUUAUUUGCCAUGCAUCAUGAUAAAACUUGUGAGUUUUGAGGAGGCACCAAUUAUAUGCUUGGUCUGCCAUUUAUGAGUUGUUGGAGCUGUUGUUUCCAGGACACAGCAACCUCUUUUCCAGCAUAGUUCAGCAAGAUUGCCAGAGCACAGUGAGCCAAGCAGGGAUUGACAGAUUUUGGCAUUUUAUUUCCUUUGGUGAAAGAAUAUUGCAUUACAACACAAACUGGUACCUCAGUUUGCCAUAGUACAGCAUCAUAUACUGAUACAGUCAUGUUGACCUAUGGGCUUUUCUUAAAAUUAUAAUUUGGAACUUGUUUCCCUUAGAACACUGUAACAACAUUAGUAAACAAAUGUCAGACUUUCAUCAUUCAGCCUUUGGUUUUUUGAUGGUUUGUUUCAGUAACACAAUAGUAAUAUAAUACGUUAUAUAUAUAUAUAUAUAUAUAUACACACAUAUAUAUAUAUAUAAUCCUUUAAUUUUUCUUAACCCACAUACAUAAAACGUGAUCUUGGGAGGAAAAAGCAAAUGUCUAAUUCAGUGAGCUAAAUAAGAAAAGAUUGUAAAUUCUAAUGAAUAUUCAUGGAGUCAAGAUAAUAAACAUGUCAAGAAAUGAUGUGGCUUCCUGCUAUGACUUCCAGUGUAGAUUAACAUGUUUCAAAGAGCAGCGUCAAAAAUUGGUUUUUAAUUUUUAAUUUUCACACUUUCUCAAAGCACCAAUUUUUUUAAUGCAUGUUUCUGAAUUGAUUUAGGAUGAUACUACUAGUGUAUUAUUAGAUAGCUCAGAAGCAUUGCAAUGAUAGGAUUUUUAACAUAUUCUUUGAUUGGUUUAUGUUUUUUUUAAGCUGUCGAAGAGUCACAGUUUCUUUUACAAAAGAUGCUAAAUUGCUGCUCAAGAAUGGAAGUGAAACACUUUAUCUUCCAUAUUUGAUGUUAUAAAAGAAUAGAAAUAUAGUAUUUGGUAUAACUUUUUCUUACAGAGCUUUUUAUUUCGCAGAUAAUUCUUGGAACUGCUGGAGACUUACAUUUUUAUGAUUAAGGGACUAAAACAAUUACUCUGUAAGUUGGGAUAUUUUAAUAUCAAUUACAGUUUAAUCUUCCCUUAAUUGGAUACUCUGUUGCCCAUAGGACAAAAAAUAAUCAUGUCUUCAAAGUAACAGUCCCAGUGAGAGCCACAUCCAGAUUAAAAACUCCUUCAUUUUUCAUGCCCACAAAUAAAUCUCAGCACAAAUAUGACAAAUUUUAGCUCCUGGUACAGAAAACACGGAUCUAAAUAAUGCACUCUGGAGCUUAGAGAAUAAUUCAGCUCAGUUUCAGGUGAACCUCUAGGCUAAAUCCACAGCAGGAAAUACUCUUUGCCAUUGCAACUCAUCUUUACUCCUUGACAUAAUUUUAGCCAGGGUUUGCUCACUAACAAAAAUAUUCUGUUCCUGGUUCAGCAGUUAAGAACCAGUUAAGAACCUCUGGCCUGGUGUAAAACAUUCACAGCUGAGGAUGAACCAGAGGAUUGUGUUCCAAGAAUCAGUACUCUGGCUUCACAGUGAUGCCCUGCAGUUCUAAAUGACAGUGCUUCAUACAGUGUACACUGACAACAAGAAAUAUUCUUGGAUCUCAGUUAUUUUCAGCUGAGAUUGGUCCUUGCACACAAACCUCUGGAGAAGAUUGCUAUAAUUGUGUAAGGUUGUUGUAAUUGUCUAAGUGGUCCAUAUAUACCCAAAGUUUAUUGGUGCCUUCUGGAAUACCUUGCGCUGCUACUACAGGGAUUUAUGAGAUAAGUAUUGAAUGGCUAUGGAGCAAAACUGAACUAGUUUAGAACAUUAACCAGAUUUUAAAAAUAAUUACCAUACACAAAAACCAGUAAAAAAUGAUGUAUCAAUCAGCAUUGUUGAUAAAAUAAGAUUGAUUGGCUACAUAAAACUUAUUUAGGCUCAGGGUUCUGAUGUUAACAAAAAUGCUUCCUGUAAAACAAGCUUGUUACUGAGAAAAAUGAAUGAAGAGCAGGAUUAAAAUAAUUUCAGAAACUGAAACUGUGAGUGUCAUUAUGACUCAGAUCCGUAGUGUCAAAUGGUUUACUAAAGCUUUUAGGAAACUCAUCGUCUUUUUUAUUCUGUAUUUGUACAGUGUCUAAAGCAACAGGAGUCCUUCUGCCCCUAAGACUCUUACAAUUGCAAUUUAUGUCCAUUACUGAAAAAAACAAAAUAUAUAGGAAAGAAGAAAAGAAAGAAAAUGCCAGUCUUCCUUCAAUGUUUGUAAAAUAUAUGGCAAAGAUUAGGAAUAGUUUCAAAACCUUUGUUUCUAUCUUCAGGUAUGGAAAUACUGUUAAUUUGUGUUACUUCCAUUCAUGCAAGGAAUAUCUAUAUAUGUAAGGUACCUAUGAAAAAUGAUGUGGCUUUGUUACAGAAGGGCAUAUUCAACAAAAUAAAUCCCUUACUUUUCUGCACCACUUCCUAAAGGUUGGAAAAAUUGCUAUAAUAUAAGCUGCAUCUUCACUGUGAUGUGAUUGUUACUAUAGGAAGCAAUAUUAACCUUGAAGAACUUGAUGACUGACUUCAGAAGAGUCUAGUGACAAUUUAAAUACGGUUUUCAUCUCUUCUUGACUGUGAAGGAUUGCACUGUUUAAAGUUCCACAGGAAAGCAAUAUAUAAACUAAAUUGGUCUCAAUUCUUUGAGACCUUCUUCCUGA